AAAUGUCUGCUUCCUUAGAGUAGCAAGCAAGGGCAGUGCAACUGACCAUUGACAAAGGAGUGCAGCUGACUUUGAAUGCAAUGCUGACAAAUAUAUAAAGCAAGUAAAAUGGGAAAAAUUGACUUUUUAACAUUUCUAAUCUUUCAGUUCUAUUAAUCUUUUGAUCCAGUGUACAGCGCAGGAGCUGAGUUUAGCAAAGGGUAAAAGGGGAGGCAAAGGAGGCUUUAAGUGGAGCUUGUUCCCCAGUGCAGCUUCAGGGCUGUACUCAUACUAUGGCUGCCUAUAGCUCCUAAAGGCCAGUCUGGAAGCUAGGAAAAGGAACAGACCAACCACUUGUCUUCCUUCAGGUAAACCUCCUAAGAAAGUAAAUGGAAGUUGAAGGCCUUGAAGACUGCUAAUCAGAGGGUCUUGUGCAGCAUCCAGUGGGAGAAAGAAGCAACACCAAAGAGUUGGCCCUCUCCAUUCCCUCAGCCACUCAGCAGAGAUCUACUAAAGUUUGGGCUUCUCAACUUGUGCCAGUGGAGGGGGCAAAGUAUGCCUUAGUUUUUAAUUCUGUGCUUGCUCAAGGGGAAAGAAAAUCUUAUUGAAAUAAAUGGUAGUUCAGUCUGAUUGAGAUCUGUGUAGGAAGGCCUUCUGGAUUUGGCCUCAUGAUGCUGUCUGGUAUAUUUUAAGGACACACUUCAAAGACAAUAGAAAUGUUUAAUGCUGUUUCUUCUUCUCAGGACUUAACUACUGUGCAAUAUGUGUAUUUCAAUAAUUAAAGCGCUUUUGGAAUUGUCGUGAAACAUGAAAAGAAAAACUUUACAGGUGAAACUUUUGUAAGAAGGGUUGUUGUUUUUUUGUUUUGUUUUUUCAUCAAAGGCUGAGGGUAAAAUGACUUUGACACAGAAAUCAUAGCCCUGGGAAUCCGUAAAUGCUUGAAGUUAGAACAUGUAAUUAUUGGAAAAUAAUCAAUCAUUCUUGUAGUUUCUGCUCUGUGUAAUUCACCGCCCACCAAGAUUUGGUUAGCACCUAAUAAAUUUGUCAUUACAAAAAUGUUAAUAAAAACAGCGCAGAAGCUUGUUGGAUAAUUCUAUCAAGUUAGCAAUAUUAACAUGAAAGUCAAGUGCAUUUUUUUCUGAUUAAUGCUUGUUUCCAUACUGCACGUGUUCAGCAGAUAAAAUUAAGGAAGCCACAACUAUAAACUAGCCUUCCUGUCAAACAAUAUUGAGUCUGAUUCUGACCUUACUGAUGCCCACAUAAUUCAGGAGUAACCCUAAUGAAAUCAGGAGAAUUAUUGAUGUAAAACUGUGUGUGCUGAGGAUCAGGCCAAUUAUGCUACAACACUUAUUAAUUGUUUCCCAUUAUGUGGCAGGAACAGAGGGAUGAAUGCAUGAAUCCUCCUCCUUCUCUCUCAGGGAGGGCAAUUGGGAGCCAAUCUGGAUGCAGGAUUUUUGCACAAAGUUCUUCCUCUUCCUGAUGGACAAGCAGAUUUUUUUUUUCUCGCUGUGGAUUUGCAAGACACCCAGCGCUCAGAAAUUCAAAGGUCAGAAGCAGGCCAAGGCACCCAGGGCAGUGCAGCUCCUGUGGAGGAGACUGGUUGCUCGGAAACUGGAAGAGGCUCAGGUAGGCCUUCACACAGGUGCUCCUGGGUUCUGUGGCAUUACCCAAGAUUCAUGGGAAGCUAAA